UACGGAGGGUGCAAGCGUUAUCCGGAUUCACUGGGUUUAAAGGGUGCGUAGGCGGGUUGGUAAGUCCGUGGUGAAAUCUCCGAGCUUAACUCGGAAACUGCCGUGGAUACUAUCAAUCUUGAAUAUCGUGGAGGUAAGCGGAAUAUGUCAUGUAGCGGUGAAAUGCUUAGAGAUGACAUAGAACACCAAUUGCGUAGGCAGCUUACUACACGAUCAUUGACGCUGAGGAGCGAAAGCCAGGGGAGCAAACGGG
rnacentral:rRNA from 1 species